UCGGACCACGCCUUCAGUUGCCUCGUGAUCCGCCAAACACAAUAAAUGGACGAAUCACAGUCAACUGUUGGCAUGGUGCUC
rnacentral:pre_miRNA from 15 species